rnacentral:rRNA from 1 species
UACGUAGGGUGCAAGCGUUAAUCGGAAUUACUGGGCGUAAAGCGUGCGCAGGCGGUUCGCUAAGACAGAUGUGAAAUCCCCGGGCUUAACCUGGGAACUGCAUUUGUGACUGGCGGGCUAGAGUAUGGCAGAGGGGGGUAGAAUUCCACGUGUAGCAGUGAAAUGCGUAGAGAUGUGGAGGAAUACCGAUGGCGAAGGCAGCCCCCUGGGGCAAUACUGACGCUCAUGCACGAAAGCGUGGGGAGCAAACAGG